GGUGCCACAACCUCCACCUGGCUCCCUCCCUCGGGACACUGGUCCUCUGAACACAGCCACCAUGUUAGGAGAAAGCCUGAGUGAGCCUAUGUGCAGCCAUCACAGGGAGAGAACCCGAGGCCUCACAGCAAAGGCAGUGCCGACCACAGACACGUGAAGUGAGCCCAGAGGUGACUGGAGCCCCAGCCUCGAGACUUGCCACUGAGGACAGGCCAGCCCCCUCCCCUGUGGCCCACAGAACCCAGGAGCACCACGGAGGGUCAUUUGCUGCAGUCAAUGGUGACAGCAGGGAGUCUGGGCCAGAGAACCAAGGAUAUAGGCUGCUGAGACCAGAAGACACCACGCAGAGCUGAGACAAGAGUUGACAGCCAGGUGGACAGUCGGUGGGGGCAGAAUUUUAACUGGUCUUCAACCAGCUUCCUUGUUCCCACGCUCUCUGAUGCAAGGUCGCCUGAAGGACCCUGUCUCCUCUGCAGCAGACACUGAGUGGCCUCUCUCCUCCUCCAGGGUCUGCCAACCCUCCAUGAUCACCUUUCGCCGCCUCUGCCAUCAAAUGCACCCCACAGCAGAGUGAUUUCUCGGGCCGGUCGUGGGCCUUGGCCAAGUGCGUGGCAGGGUCGUUCUGUGGACUUUCCAGCCACCUCUUCCAAGCUGGCAGAUGUGCGGCUGUAUCUUUAAGACUGUACCUCUCACUUCACUUUUGAAUCAAAAUCCAACCGCUAAGAAUAUUGUGAUGUAUCUGGAUAAGCAUCGCCUCAAGUUGCCUCUUCAUGUGCUUUGUGACUCUUUUGAAGAUUGUUUUCUUUUAAAUUUAGAGGAUUUAAGUGAGAGUAACAUAAUACAUUACGUACUAUUCCAUUGUCCUGGAGUUUCUUCCUCCCACCCAACCUACCCAGCAGAACCCUGGACUUGCUCAGAAACCAGAUAAUUAAGUGCUUUUCUAUGUUAUCCAAGUCCUAGUUGUGCGCCUCCUCGUCAGCAUGAGGCUCAUUGUGAGAUGCACUGCAGGAGGUAUGAGGCUCCAAAUUCCCUGCUUUGAGUGACAUAAAUUGUAUAUAAAGUUCCCAAUGAAAUAAAAUUAUCACAAUGUAUUCCAAACUUCAGCCCUGCCAAUUACAUGUGUUGAAGGGCUAAAAGAAAUUGGUUUGA